GCGCCUGUAGCUCAGUUGGAUAGAGCGUCCGCCUCCUAAGUGGAAGGUCCCCGGUUCAACUCCGGGCAGGCGCG
rnacentral:tRNA from 1 species